AUGUGUCCCGCCAUGACAUUUUUAUCCCAAAUGACACACGCCUCGAUAUCGGUAAAAUGACGUAGAAGUUGACGUCACUUAAUUAGAUAAUUGUUUUCAUUAAUUUGUUUUUAAAACAACAGCCAUUAGUGUUAAAAUCAAUGAUAUCGGACGAAGAUUGUUAAGUUUAAACGUUUCAUCAUUUAGUUAUCGCACUAGACUGGUACUUUGUGAAAUAUCUCAAAUAAUGAGAGAAUUAGCGAAUUGUUUCCCUUUGAAAUCUACACGCCAUUAACGGUGUAUACAUGUGUGAAACUGGGUCAGAGAAAACAUGCAGUUAUUGCUCUGAAUAUACGCGGAUAUUUAAAGUGCAUGGCGGAUUUAUUGGUUGUUAUGGACAACCUCCAGCAAUAUGAGAUAUAAAUGUUCACUGCAGUUUUGACAAUGCCCAUCAAGUGGAGUUGCUGUGAGUUCUCAUGCAGUGUAUGAAAAGUAUAGUACUGCUGUUGGAAGAGGAGCAGUGUGGUAUCUAUGGUCCACCAUCACUUCAAGCAUUGACUAUGGAUAAAAGAAGGUUUCAUUACAUAUGGACAAUUAUAUUGGACAAAAUAAGAAGUGUUCUAAUAAGUUCUGGAAUGUGGCUUGUUAUGAUGGGUCUACAUGAUUGACUUGGAGUCAACCUGAUGGGGACUGGGCUUGCAGAAUUCAGUCCUGAACAUGUUUAGAAUGUCUUCUGCAUGACCUGGUGUAGUAUUCUUGAAGGAUUAUAACUUAAGCACAGAGACGGAGAUUAAUAUUUUAGGCAGGGGAUUGGCAUGACAGGCAAAUUCUCCAACUGUAUUACCAUUCCUGAGCUGGAUGCCAGCCGACAGUGGUACCUGUAUAAUGAAAUAGCGCCCCUUUGCAGCAACAACAAUGUAUGCUCAAAACUAGCAGUGCCAAAACCAUUAAAAUUGAGAACUCAGUCAUUUAAGACAAAGAAUGAAUGGAAAAAAAGUGUUUAACAUUUAAAGAAAUACAGAGAAAGAGCUUAGCUCAUUCGGUAUUUUCUGAAAUUUUAAUUAGUUUUGAAAGUGUUUUUUGAUUUUUUAAAGGUGUACUAGACCCAAAUUCCAUAUAUUAGCCGUGCCAUGAGAAAACCAACAUAGUGGGUUUGAACCAGCAUGGAUCCAGACCAGCCUGCCCAUCCGUGCAGUCUGGUCAGGAUCUUUGCUGUUCACUUUUAAAGCCUACUGGAAUUAGAGAAACUGUUAGCGAACAGCAUGGAUCCUGAUCAGACUACGUGGAUAUGCAGGCUGGUCUGGAUCCAUUCUGGUCACAAACCCACUAUGUUGGUUUUCUCAUGGCGUGGCUCAUAUAUGAAUAUGAACAAAUGCUACACAUAGUUAUGUAAACAUUGAAUUAACAAGUUUAUGAAGUCAACAGUACUAUGCAUUGGUUAAAUAUAGACACACUGUAUGUAUGUAAGGCUGAACACAGUAUAAAUGUUAAAUUCCUCUAAGACACUGGAAGAUUUUUCAACAAUCUGCUGUUUAGUACUGCAUGACAUAAAAUUAUGAAUGUAGCUCUACAUACACAGUUGAUUUAUACGUUAUUAAGCAAAGUUAAAUAUAUUUAUUGAUGAUUUUCUACAGUAAUUACCUAAAUAUUAAAUAUUUUAGUGAAGAUAUAUUUUAUGCAACUAUAUAAGUUGAAAAAAGCCACCUCCAGGAAGAAUAUUUUGAAAUGAUACUUUUACUUGAAAAUUUAUGUGGAAAAUGAAGGAAAUAGAUGUUAAAAUGAAUUCUUUAUUUUAUAAAAAAUGUUGUUGCCAUGGAAACAUAAUUUGAGUAUUAAGUUUAUCUGCUUUCAUACCAGAGUAAUAUGACUUUUAAUUAUAAUUAUGUAAACAAUUUAAUGUUAUAUAAUUAUCACUGAUACUUUUAAUUUUCAAUUUACACUGUCACUGAGCAAUGCAUCUUAAGUACAUUUGAGGUUGAAUGACACAUUACAAAUAUUAGAUAUUUAUGGAAUUACUUUUAGAUAUUUUUGAGAUGAAUAUAAAUCAGAAAAAUCACAAAUUCUAGUUCUUCUAGAGAACUAAUAUAUAUUUUAUAAAUUUACAUUUUUUUUAUCAAAUGUAGGCUAAAAUGUCUGUUAAAUUGACAUUUAAAGCAAUUCUUGUAUUUUGUUGCUAUGGAAACAUAAAUUGUGUCAAUUUUUUUAAUAUAAAAUAGCAUAUUUAUAGCAAGAAUGCAUUAUCAACUGUGCUAAUCAUGUUAAAUACUUUUGAUAUUGAUGGCAAAAUAUGAAAUUAAAAUAUAUGAUAAAAAUAAAUGAUUUUAGUAUUUGUCAUUAUUAUUAAAAAAUAAGUGCAAGUUUGCGAUGGGGAGUUAUUGUACCAAAAAUGCUAUAAUUUUGUUAUUUUAAAACAUGCAGGUCUAAAGUUUUGAAUUUAUGUUAAGGACACAUGUACAGUUCAGAAUAUGUGAAAAACUCAGUUUCCAUAAAAAUGUCAUUUGGGACCAUUUUGUCAUGGCUUGUCACAUAUGAUCCUUUGUUUAAUGUAAAUGCAUCAAAUAAAAAUUAAAUGCUAA